GGAUUAGAUACCCUGGUAGUCCACGCAGUAAACGAUGAGUGCUAGAUAUUAAAAUGCAAAUUUUGGUGUCGAAGCUAACGCGUUAAGCACUCCGCCUGGGGAGUACGACCGCAAGGUUAAAACUCAAAGGAAUUGACGGGGACCCGCACAAGCGGUGGAACAUGUGGUUUAAUUCGAUACUACGCGAAAAACCUUACCAAGUCUUGACAUGAUAGUCGUAUGGUUGAGAAAUCAUCUAGUCACUUUGGGUGGACUAUCACAGGUGUUGCAUGGCCGUCGUCAGCUCGUGCUG
rnacentral:rRNA from 1 species